CCUACGGGAGGCAGCAGUGGGGAAUAUUGCACAAUGGGGGAAACCCUGAUGCAGCGACGCCGCGUGAGUGAAGAAGUAAUUCGUUAUGUAAAGCUCUAUCAGCAGGGAAGAAAAUGACGGUACCUAAGUAAUCACCCCCGGCUAACUCCGUGCCAGCAGCCGCGGUAAUACGUAGGGGGCAAGCGUUAUCCGGAUUUACUGGGUGAAACGGGAGCGGAGACGGCAGUGCAAGUCGGGAGUGAAAGGCGGGGGCUCAACCCCCGGACUGCUCUGGAAACUGUACGGCUGGAGUGCAGGAGAGGGAAGUGGAAUUCCUAGUGUAGCGGUGAAAUGCGUAGAUAUUAGGAGGAACACCAGUGGCGAAGGCGGCUUACUGGACUGUAACUGACGUUGAGGCUCGAAAGCGUGGGGAGCAAACAGGAUUAGAUACCCUGGUAGUC
rnacentral:rRNA from 1 species